rnacentral:rRNA from 1 species
AAUGUCUGGGAAACUGCCUGAUGGAGGGGGAUAACUACUGGAAACGGUAGCUAAUACCGCAUAAGGUCGCAAGACCAAAGUGGGGGACCUUCGGGCCUCAUGCCAUCAAAUGUGCCCAGAUGGGAUUAGCUAGUAGGUGGGGUAACGGCUCACCUAGGCGACGAUCCCUAGCUGGUCUGAGAGGAUGACCAGCCACACUGGAACUGAGACACGGUCCAGACUCCUACGGGAGGCAGCAGUGGGGAAUAUUGCACAAGGGGCGCAAGCCUGAUGCAGCCAUGCCGCGUGUGUGAAGAAGGCCUUCGGGUUGUAAAGCACUUUCAGCGGGGAGGAAGGC